rnacentral:tRNA from 1 species
GUAUCCUUAGCUCAGUUGGAUAGAGCAACAGCCUUCUAAGCUGUAGGUCAUGCGUUCGAGCCGCAUAGGAUACACCA